rnacentral:rRNA from 1 species
AUUGAACGCUGGCGGCAGGCCUAACACAUGCAAGUCGAGCGGAUGAAGGGAGCUUGCUCCUGGAUUCAGCGGCGGACGGGUGAGUAAUGCCUAGGAAUCUGCCUGGUAGUGGGGGAUAACGUCCGGAAACGGGCGCUAAUACCGCAUACGUCCUGAGGGAGAAAGUGGGGGAUCUUCGGACCUCACGCUAUCAGAUGAGCCUAGGUCGGAUUAGCUAGUUGGUGGGGUAAGGGCCUACCAAGGCGACGAUCCGUAACUGGUCUGAGAGGAUGAUCAGUCACACUGGAACUGAGACACGGUCCAGACUCCUACGGGAAGCAGCAGUGGGGAAUAUUGGACAAUGGGCGAAAGCCUGAUCCAGCCAUGCCGCGUGUGUGAAGAAGGUCUUCGGAUUGCAAAGCACUUUAAGUUGGGAGGAAGGGCAGUAAGUUAAUACCUUGCUGUUUUGACGUUACCAACAGAAUAAGCACCGGCUAACUUCGUG